AGCAGCCGCGGUAAUUCCAGCUCCAAUAGCGUAUAUUAAAGUUGCUGUAGUUAAAAAGCUCGUAGUUGAAUUUCGGGACCAUCAUGUCGGUCGUGCCUCGGUACGUACUGGCAUUGUUGGUUUCUCCCUUCUGAAGAACCAUGAUGUCAUUAAUUUGGUGUCUUGGGGAAUCAGGACUGUUACUUUGAAAAAUUGAGUGUUUAAAGCAGGCUCGCGCUUGAAUACAUUAGCAUGGAAUAAUGAAAUAGGACGUUUGAUUCUAUUUUGUUGGUUUCUAGGAUCGACGUAAUGAUUAAUAGGGAUAGUUGGGGGCAUUAGUAUUCAAUUGUCAGAGGUGAAAUUC
rnacentral:rRNA from 1 species